rnacentral:lncRNA from 1 species
UUGGAGUAUUAAGGUUGGGUGGGGGAGACAUCGUUUGAGAGUAAGGUUUUGGUGGGGGAUGUGCCAUUUUGGAAUUAGGGUUAGGUGUGAGUGGAGUUUUCUGAAACACGACUUCGCUGGGCUCGAGGUCUUGGGAGUUGCCACACUCUAAGCGCGGAUUACGUGGUGUGGUUGUAUUGCAUUCAAAUAGUUAGGUGUUUGGUGUUGGGUUGAGUUAUGUGUUUUGCAAAGAGAGGGAGUGUGUUGUUUUUGAGGAUAGGAGUUCAGAGACAUUGCGAGACCCUUUGAAUGGAGGAAGGAGUGAGACGUGUAAGACAGAGUGAACCAGAACAUCGACGAUAGUUGGAGCUAGUACGCAACGACACUGAUAUGGCAGAGGACUUGGUAUGGUCCGAAAAAACGCAGACCCAACUUUUGGUUCGAACGAUGCUCCAUGAAGUGUUGCCAGUAGGGUUGGAGGCACACCCAGACCUAAUCGCCAGAGUUGAAUUUGCGGUCAUCGCGGUGGUGGUUCGCUUGGUCACACAUGUGUUAGUGUGUCCAUCGUAAGUUUUCCUUGAGUUCGCGAAGGAUGAUGGUGUGAUGUGACAGUAUAUCGGGGAUGGUUGCGUCUACAUGUGGGUCCCAGCCGACCAUACAAAGUGUGGAACAGGGAGGUCCCUAUCGCCGAAUGGUGGGUGGUAUUGUGCCAUAGUUAUGCCAAUGAAGAUAUUGAUACCACUUACGAGGUUGGAUUCUCACAAAACACCUCAGGUAAACUUUGAAUCCUCGGUUAAGCACUUCCACUUGGCCAUCCGUUUGUAGAUGAUAUGGUGAACUGAAUUUUAAUGUAUUGUCUUAUGCUGUGAACAAUUGUCUCCAAAAAGUACUGACGAACAAGGGGUCUCUGUCAGAUACAAUUUUGUGAUUUCCAUACAUUUCGGGAAGGUGACAAAUUAAUCUUCGAGACUUACAGUGAGAAGGCCCUUACCGAUAUGAGGGUUUUGUUACUGCUGUGAAUAGUUUCUUUUUUGUCAAUUUAUUUUGGCAAAAUGUUUUUUUUUGGGAAACAAGGACAAUGGUACUUUUCCUUUUUAUUUAAUUUAACAAUAUUGUGCUUAAUAGUAUCUAUUCAUCAUUCAUUCAUUAUGCAUACUCAUCAUUCUUUUUACAAUCUGAUUUUUUUCAAUAUGUUGGCAUAAUUUUAAAUGUGCUAAACGUUUAGUACGAGCCAGUACAUAGAACAAAAAAUAAAAUGUAUGUAAAAUAAUAAUUUAUAAAUUUUAUCUCAUAUAUUGUUGUGUUCAUUUUACGAUUACACAUUCCAUAUGCAUGCUUUUUUAAAUUUUGUUUACAUUCACUUUUUAUUUUAGAUUCAGUUUUUUUUCCUUAGAUGUUGGGUCUUUUAUUUUAUUUAAGCUUAUUGUCAAUUAUACGUAGUUUUAUUUCAUUCAUUAUUUAUUUGCAUUAUAAGAAUACACACGGAGUUAAAUUUUAUUUGCAUGAUUCCAAUAUAUACUUUUAAAUAUGUUGUUAACACUUUAUCCAAUAUGUACACAAUAUUUUGCAUUUAGUUAUAAUUAUUACUCAUGUGUUACCACAAUAUGACGUGUUAAACCCUAUAAUCCUAUUUCGGUCAAGAAACGUACAUUCAUAUUAUCUAUUAUGUAUACUAAAUUGUUAUUUUCCAUUCUUUUGUUGCACGUUGUUCUUUUAUAAGUAAAUGCAUUCCGAGAACAACAGGAAUGUAACUCAACAUAUUGCACUACAGUCCCUCAAUGCAAAGAACUUUAUUAAUACCUCUCUACAUCUAAUAAUAUAUUUUUGGCAGAGUUUUACUAUGUAAUUGUUCUACAACUGUUUGGUUUUGUUUUUGUGUAAUUGUUUGUACUUUACUUAAUUUUUUUCAUUUCAUUGUUUAUUUAUGUAUUUCCUUCUAUUUUUUUUAAUUAUAGAGAGACCAAUGACCAAAAUAGUGUUAUUCAAGAUUGUUUCAUUUAGUAACGAAUGAAGUUAUAAUGGAGGCUAAAAGCAUUCUUUCCUACUUUAGAAAAAAGGUAAGCAAAGGUAGCAUUUUUUAAUUAUGUUGCUUACUUUUGAUCUUGAAUCUUCUUCGUUGUUCAAGUCUCAUAUUUUGAAGCCAAGAUUUGCUUUCAAGAUAACUCUAAUUGUGUUAAAAAAAGGUUACAAAUCUGUAAAGUUACAGACGUCGUGUGUAAUCAUUGUCAGCUUUGAAACCCUAUGUUGUAGGUUCUUCGCUUUCACAUUGCUAAAAGCGUGUUAAUAAAUUGUUGCCAACUUUUCGGCAAUCCAAAAACAAGAAACUUAC